CAGUGUAAAAAUGCUUAGGGUUAGGGUUAGGUUCUCUGACAAAUGAAUCCUGUUUCUCUACAGAAGGAUCACAGCAACCAGAGCACCUACCGUCUGUCGGGGAUGGUCUCUCACCUCGGGGAGAGCAUCAACACCGGUAACUAAAGCUUUUAUAGUAAAGAAUGUACAUCUGUACCUGACACACGCGUCAGACACUAGACCCGUCCCACGCUGGGGGACAGUAAGGUAAUGGAUGUCUUGUGUCCCCCAGGCCACUACGUCAGUGACGUAGCUCGAGAGGACGGCGCCGGAUGGUUGACCCUCAACGACGCCCGUGUGACGCCCGCGGAGACGCCGGUCCUGAGGACCAGAGAGAAGACCGCCUACAUGUUGUUUUACGUCCUAAGUGGAGCAGAAGAGGGAAGCCAUGUCCCACUGGCUCAGAACCAGGAGCCAUCUGGAGCUGAGAGGGACUGACACCUGUGAGGCCCAGGAGAGCGCUUGAUUGGUGGUGCCUCUACAGCCCACUCUGGGGGCCGCACCCUGCAGCCCCCCUCUACAGCUGAGGCCCACCUUUAAACGCCCCCCUAGGGGCCACACCCUGAAGCCCCCCUAUACAUCCCCCCCUAGGGGCCACACCCUGAAGCCCCCCUCUACAUCCCCCCCUAGGGGCCACACCCUGAAGCCCCCCUCUACAUCCCCCCCUAGGGGCCACACCCUGAAGCCCCCAUCUACAUCCCCCCCUAGGGGCCACACCCUGAAGCCCCCCUCUACAUCCCCCUCUGGGGGCCACACCCUGAAGCCCCCCUCUAACCCCCCCUAGGGGCCACACCCUGAAGCCCCCCUCUACAUCCCCCUCUGGGGGCCACACCCUGAAGCCCCCCUCUACAUCCCCCCCUAGGGGCCACACCCUGAAGCCCCCCUCUACAUCCCCCCCUAGGGGCCACACCCUGAAGCCCCCCUCUACAUCCCCCCUAGGGGCCACACCCUGAUGCCCCCCUCUAGGGGACCUGAGGCCCCUCUCUAUACCCCCCUCUGGGGGCCACCCCCUGCGGCCCCCUUCUACAGCCCCCUCUAGGGGCUAACCAACCCCCUCUACAGCCCCCUCUAGGGGCCCUCCUCUUUGGACGUUAAGGCUGAUCAUAAUGAGGAUCACUUUAUUUUUAUUUUGUAUCAUAAUAAUAAUGAGGAGCAUAUUCAUAUUAUGUAUAAUAAUAAUGCUGAGGAUCAUCUUAUUAUGAAUAAUAAUGUCAUUAUGUGAUCCUUUUUAUUAUUAUACAUGUAUAAUAAUAAUAAUAAUAAUGAGGAUAACAUUAUUAUGUAUAAUAAUAAUGCUUAGGAU
rnacentral:lncRNA from 1 species